CACCGGCCCAUGAUCCGGCCGACAGUCUUCCUCUUCCUUGCCUACGUUCCGUCUCUCCCCCACCAUGUUCCGCCUCCGUUCGUCUUUAUCCAUGGCCACCGGUUGCACAAUAAAUCCCAUUAAUUCUUCACGGCGCAUAGCCCAGUUAAUUCUUUGUUUGCUGGCUCCUCUAUUCGGAAGUUCCUCUUUCUGGCCGCCCUUCUGAUUUCUAACUGCUCCGUUCCUCUUCCUCAUUAUUGCAACAAAAUCCGACCUGAAAUCAAAGAAGGGGAGUCGACCAGUCCACGAUCUCCAGAAGGAGGUAGCUGAUCAGCCUUCUCUUCCUUUUAAAUACCAGGACAAACACCACAUUACUUCCGUAGAUCUUCAUCUCACUCCCUUCCCAUUUGCUCUAGAUCCGGUCGACACUCCUCAAACCGGUGAGGUGUCGACGCGCCACCCAAAUAGCCUGUCCGGGAAACUCUGCCACGAGAAGCACGCCCCGCACACACACAUCAUGAGACCGACCCAAGUUACCUCAUCAGAGCAUGUUCAUUGUUCGUUGGAGUGGAUAUCUGUCCUCGAUCUCUCCUACUGCAAUGGAAUGGUCAAGGGUUAUGCAUCUGAAGAUAUGCACCGCAGUUUGGUGGAUACAAGGGUGAGUAGCUUUGUCAGGCUUCAUACUUGCUACAUGGUCGUCAUGAUGAAUAGUCCAAGGUGCCCCAGGCGACCAAUGUUUCACUAUACCUUCUUUCUUCUUGAAGCAGAAGUUUACAUUGCAGUCUGUUGUUCCAGCUACGUCUGCUAAUUUCUGCAUUCCUACUAUUUUCUAUCAAUUAGAGAACAACCAUUCUACAUGUCAAUCUCGUAGGCAGGUGAAUACUAAAAGGUGGUGAUGCCAAUAUGGACCAACCAAAAUGAAGGCACGGCGUAACUGGCUAUGCACUUCUGAGGUUUUUUCAUCUUCUGUAAGUGUAUAUAGUGCAAUUGGCGAACGUACGCAUCAAAGUGGUGAAGGGAAAUUCCAAUGAUAUACUUAUACCACAGUGUAUGUUUCUUUUUAAGUUGUAAAUCGUGUAUGCUACAAGUUUGGAUUUUUAUUUCCUACAUCAAGUAUCAUAUGUAAUA